GAUGAACGCUGGCGGCGUGCCUAAUACAUGCAAGUCGAGCGAACGGACGAGAAGCUUGCUUCUCUGAUGUUAGCGGCGGACGGGUGAGUAACACGUGGAUAACCUACCUAUAAGACUGGGAUAACUUCGGGAAACCGGAGCUAAUACCGGAUAAUAUUUUGAACCGCAUGGUGCAAAAGUGAAAGACGGUCUUGCUGUCACUUAUAGAUGGAUCCGCGCUGCAUUAGCUAGUUGGUAAGGUAACGGCUUACCAAGGCAACGAUGCAUAGCCGACCUGAGGGGGUGAUCGGCCACACUGGAACUGAGACACGGUCCAGACUCCUACGGGAGGCCGCAGUAGGGACUCUUCCGCAAUGGGCGAAAGCCUGACGGAGCAACGCCGCGUGAGUGAUGAAGGUCUUCGGAUCGUAAAACUCUGUUAUUAGGGAAGAACAUAUGUGUAAGUAACUAUGCACAUCUUGACGGUACCUAAUCAGAAAGCCACGGCUAACUACGUG
rnacentral:rRNA from 1 species